UGACUGAGUGGCGGACGGGUGAGUAACGCGUGGGUAACCUGCCCCAUACAGGGGGAUAACAGUUAGAAAUGACUGCUAAUACCGCAUAAGACCACAGUACCGCAUGGUACAGGGGUAAAAACUCCGGUGGUAUGAGAUGGACCCGCGUCUGAUUAGGUAGUUGGUGGGGUAACGGCCUACCAAGCCGACGAUCAGUAGCCGACCUGAGAGGGUGACCGGCCACAUUGGGACUGAGACACGGCCCAA
rnacentral:rRNA from 1 species